rnacentral:misc_RNA from 1 species
GAUGAAGAACGUAGCGAAAUGCGAUAAGUAGUGUGAAUUGCAGAAUUCAGUGAAUCAUCGAAUCUUUGAACGCACAUUGCGCCCCUUGGUAUUCCAUGGGGCAUGCCUGUUCGAGCGUCAUUUGUACCUUCAAGCUUUGCUUGGUGAUGGGUGUUUGUCUCGCCUCCGCGUGUAGACUCGCCUCAAAACAAUUGGCAGCCGGCGUAUUGAUUUCGGAGCGCAGUACAUCUCGCGCUUUGCACUCACAACGACGACGUCCAAAAGUACAUUUUUACACUCUUGACCUCGGAUCAGGUAGGGAUACCCGCUGAACUUAAGCAUAUCAAUAAGCGGAGGA